rnacentral:rRNA from 1 species
UACGGAGGAUGCGAGCGUUAUCCGGAUUUAUUAGGUUUAAAGGGUGCGUAGGCGGGGCUUUAAGUCAGCGGUAAAAUCAUAUAGCUUAACUAUAUCAAGCCAUUGAUACUGGAGUCCUUGAGUACGGUUGAGGCUGGCGGAAUGUGUUGUGUAGCGGUGAAAUGCUUAGAUAUGACACAGAACACCGAUUGCGAAGGCAGCUAGCUAAGCCGGCACUGACGCUGAGGCACGAAAGCGUGGGGAUC